rnacentral:misc_RNA from 1 species
GAUGAAGAACGUAGCGAAAUGCGAUACGUAAUGUGAAUUGCAGCUUUCAGUGAAUCAUCGAAUCUUUGAACGCACAUUGCGCCCGCCAGUAUUCUGGCGGGCAUGCCUGUUCGAGCGUCAUUUCAACCAUCAAGCCUUCGCUUGUGUUGGGGCCCCGCGGCUGCCGCGGUCCCCUAAAUCCAGUGGCGGGCUCGUCGUCGUACCGAGCGCAGUAGACAUCCUCGCUCCGGGAACCCGACGGGUGCCGGCCGUGAAACCCCCCACAUCAAGGUUGACCUCGGAUCAGGUAGGAAUACCCGCUGAACUUAAGCAUAUCAAUAAGCGGAGGA